rnacentral:rRNA from 1 species
GAUGAACGCUGGCGGCGUGCUUAACACAUGCAAGUCGAACGAAGCGCUUUAUUUGAUUUCCUUCGGGACUGAUUAUUUUGUGACUGAGUGGCGGACGGGUGAGUAACGCGUGGGUAACCUGCCUUGUACAGGGGGAUAACAGUUGGAAACGGCUGCUAAUACCGCAUAAGCGCACAGCAUCGCAUGAUGCAGUGUGAAAAACUCCGGUGGUAUAAGAUGGACCCGCGUUGGAUUAGCUAGUUGGUGAGGUAACGGCCCACCAAGGCGACGAUCCAUAGCCGACCUGAUAGGGUGACCGGCCACAUUGGGACUGAGACACGGCCCAAACUCCUACGGGAGGCAGCAGUGGGGAAUAUUGCACAAUGGGCGAAAGCCUGAUGCAGCGACGCCGCGUGAGCGAAGAAGUAUUUCGGUAUGUAAAGCUCUAUCAGCAGGGAAGAUAAUGACGUUACCUGACUAAGAAGCACCGGCUAAAUACGUG